ensembl:lncRNA
GAAGUAGUAGAACAGAAUCUAGUCAGGGUAGGCUUGAGUAAACAAAUACGUUUUAAGCCUAGACUUAAACACUGAGACUGUGAACUAGCGUAACUCUUCAACUAGCGUAAACUCUUCAAUUAGCGUAACUCUUCAAUUAGCGUAACUCUUCAACUAGCGUAAACUCUUCAGUUAGUGUAACUCUUCAACUAGCGUAAAUUCUUCAACUAGCGUAAACUUCAGGUAGCGUAAACUCUUCAACUAGCGUAAACUUCAGAUAGCGUAAACUCUUCAACUAGCGAAAACUCUUCAACUAGCUGUAACUCUUAAAUUAGCGUAAACUCUUCAACUAGCGUAAACUGUUCAACUAGCAUUAACUCUUCAACUAACCGUAACUCUUCAAUUAGCGUAAACUCUUCAACUAGCGAAAACUCCAACUAGCGUAAACUCUUCAACUAGCGUAAACUCUUCAACUAGCAUUAACUGUUCAACUAACGUAAACUUUUCAAUUAGCGUAAACU